UACGGGGGGGGCAAGCGUUGUUCGGAAUUACUGGGCGUAAAGGGCUCGUAGGUGGCCAACUAAGUCAGACGUGAAAUCCCUCGGCUUAACCGGGGAACUGCAUCUGAUACUGGAUGGCUUGAGAUUGGGAGAGGGAUGCGGAAUUCCAGGUGUAGCGGUGAAAUGCGUAGAUAUCUGGAGGAACACCGGUGGCGAAGGCGGCAUCCUGGACCAACACUGACGCUGAGGAGCGAAAGCGUGGGGAGCGAACAGG
rnacentral:rRNA from 1 species